UCCUCUCCUCCUCCUCUCCCCUUCCUCUCCCCUUCCUCUCCUCCUCCUCUCCCCUUCCUCUCCCCCUCCUCUCCCCUUCCUCUCCCCUUCCUCUCCUCCUCCUCUCCCCUUCCUCUCCCCUUCCUCUCCUCCUCCUCUCCCCUUCCUCUCCCCUUCCUCUCCCCUUCCUCUCCCCUUCCUCUCCCCUUCCUCUCCCCCUCCUCUCCUCCUCCAAUGCUGUUGUAAAGGAUCUCCAUUCUCAGGUUGUUAACAGGUCUAUAUUUGGGUUGGAUUGUUUAUAGUGGUGUCUGUAUUAACAUCAUAUAGCUUUGUCCAACUCCAGUAGGAUUAUAAUCUAUGAAUCUCCUUCUCAUUAAAUAUAACCUCUGGUUUAAACUCUCAUUCCUUACUCUGUCCGCCUGUCAAUCCCUCUCCCUGCAUCAAAGCUUUAGUGACUUAGUUAACUCUGGUUCAGCUGCCUGAGUUGCUCUGGUUUAGCUGCCUGAGUUGCUCUGGUUCAGCUGCCUGAGUUGCUCUGGUUCAGCUGCCUGAGUUGCUCUGGUUUAGCUGCCUGAGUUGCUCUGGUUCAGCUGCCUGAGUUGCUCUGGUUCAGCUGCCUGAGUUGCUCUGGUUCAGCUGCCUGAGUUGCUCUGGUUCAGCUGCCUGAGUUGCUCUGGUUCAGCUGCCUGAGUUGCUCUGGUUCAGCUGCCUGAGUUGCUCUGGUUUAGCUGCCUGAGUUGCUCUGGUUCAGCUGCCUGAGUUGCUCUGGUUCAGCUGCCUGAGUUGCUCUGGUUUAGCUGCCUGAGUUGCUCUGGUUCAGCUGCCUGAGUUGCUCUGGUUUAGCUGCCUGAGUUGCUCUGGUUUAGCUGCCUGAGUUACCUGGCUGUUGGAUGGAAUUUGUAUGAAUGUUCUGUGAUGGUUGUAUGGAUGUUCUGUGAUGGUUGUGUGGAUGUUCUGUGAUGGUUGUGUGGAUGUUCUGUGAUGGUUGUAUGAUGUUCUGUGAUGGUUGUAUGGAUGUUCUGUGAUGGUUGUAUGGAUGUUCUGUGGUGGUUGUACGGAUGUUCUGUGAUGGUUGUAUGGAUGUUCUGUGAUGGUUGUGUGAAUGUUCUGUGAUGGUUGUAUGAAUGUUCUGUGAUGGUUGUAUGGAUGUUCUGUGAUGGUUGUAUGAAUGUUCUGUGAUCGUUGUAUGGAUGUUCUGUGAUGGUUGUAUGGAUGUUCUGUGAUGGUUGUAUGGAUGUUCUGUGAUGGUUGUGUGAAUGUUCUGUGAUGGUUGUAUGGAUGUUCUGUGAUGGUUGUAUGGAUGUUCUGUGGUGGUUGUAUGGAUGUUCUGUGAUGGUUGUAUGGAUGUUCUGUGAUGGUUGUGUGAAUGUUCUGUGAUGGUUGUAUGGAUGUUCUGUGAUGGUUGUAUGGAUGUUCUGUGAUGGUUGUAUGGAUGUUCUGUGGUGGUUGUAUGGAUGUUAUAUUGUGGUUGUAUGGAUGUUCUGUGGUGGUUGUAUGAAUGUUCUGUGAUGGUUGUAUGGAUGUUCUGUGGUGGUUGUAUGAAUGUUCUGUGAUGGUUGUAUGGAUGUUCUGUGAUGGUUGUAUGAAUGUUCUGUGGUGGUUGUAUGGAUGUUCUGUGAUGGUUGUAUGAAUGUUCUGUGAUGGUUGUGUGAAUGUUCUGUGAUGGUUGUAUGGAUGUUCUGUGAUGGUUGUAUGAAUGUUCUGUGGUGGUUGUAUGGAUGUUCUGUGAUGGUUGUAUGGAUGUUCUGUGAUGGUUGUAUGGAUGUUCUGUGAUGGUUGUAUGGAUGUUCUGUGAUGGUUGUAUGAAUGUUCUGUGAUGGUUGUGUGAAUGUUCUGUGAUGGUUGUAUGAUGUUCUGUGAUGGUUGUAUGAAUGUUCUGUGAUGGUUGUAUGAAUGCUCUGUGAUGGUUGUAUGAAUGUUCUGUGAUGGUUGUAUGGAUGUUAUGAGAUGGUUGUGUGGAUGUUAGAUGUUGUAUGAAUGUUCUGUGAUGGUUGUAUGAUGUUCUGUGAUGGUUGUAUGGAUGUUCUGUGAUGGUUGUAUGAAUGCUCUGUGAUGGUUGUAUGAAUGUUCUGUGAUGGUUGUAUGGAUGUUAUGAGAUGGUUGUGUGGAUGUUAGAUGUUGUAUGAAUGUUCUGUGAUGGUUGUGUGAAUGUUCUGUGAUGGUUGUGUGAAUGUUCUGUGAUGGUUGUGUGAAUGUUCUGUGAUGGUUGUAUGAAUGUUCUGUGAUGGUUGUGUGGAUGUUCUGUGAUGUUGUAUGAAUGUUAGGAGAUGGUUGUGUGGAUGUUCUGUGAUGGUUGUGUGGAUGUUAGGAGAUGGUUGUAUGAAUGUUAGGAGAUGGUUGUGUGGAUGUUCAGUGAUGGUUGUGUGAAUGUUCUGUGAUGGUUGUGUGAAUGUUCUGUGAUGGUUGUGUGAAUGUUCUGUGAUGGUUGUGUGAAUGUUCUGUGAUAGUUGUAUGAAUGUUCUGUGAUGGUUGUGUGGCUGUUCUGUGAUGGUUGUGUGGAUGUUAGGAGAUGGUUGUGUGGAUGUUAGGAGAUGGUUGUGUGGAUGUUCCUCCCAAUACAUUGAGGUUGACAGGUCUUCUCAGUGUUCUCUGACCCUGAGGUAGGACUAGGGGUCAGGGUGAGGUAGGGCUAGGGGUCAGGGUGAGGUAGGGCUAGUGGUCAGGGUGAGGUAGGGUUAGUGAGGUAGGGCUAGGGGACAGGGUUAGUGAGGUAGGGCUAGGGGUCAGGGUGAGGUAGGACUAGGGGUCAGGGUGAGGUAGGGUUAGUGAGGUAGGGCUAGGGGUCAGGGUGAGGUAGGGCUAGGGGACAGGGUGAGGUAGAGCUAGGGAGGUAGGGCUAGGGGUCAGGGUGAGGUAGGGCUAGUGAGGUAGGGCUAGGGGUUUGGGUUGCUAGUUUGGUAGUGUUAGUUUGAUAGACAGGUGUCAGAUUGAGUGUCUGAGCCUGAACCAACUGACCAUCUAACCUUUAACCUCUGACCUGGAAGUCUUAUGAAUAACUCUCUGGCAUUGCUGUCAGACUUAGUAGCCGACAGGAAGUCUGAGGUCUUACGCGACACACAACUCUGUCCUGCAGACUUCCAAAUGACAUCGAUGCAUGAUUUAGGUAAAACCCACCGGACAGCCAGUGAUCUGAGGCUGGGUUUGUCCUGCAGUAAAGCAUCUUCCAGGACAGCUUAGGGGGUUUCAAUCCUAGCUCUGCACACACGAACAUCUCCUUAGACACCACGUUGUUAGCUAUGGCACGGUCUGAUGUGGGCCUGAGACCCGCUAACCUACCUGCUUCAACACCUCAACACUCACCGAACCACUACACUUUCUAUGGGACGACCUACCUGCUGCUAGCCCUCUCGACUACACAGAGCUCUAUCGGGUUCUACUGGGUUCACUCGGGUUCUACUAGAUUCUACCAGGUUCUGAGGUUCUACCAGGUUCGAAGGUUCUACCAGGUUCUGAGGUUCUACCAGGUUCUGAGGUUCUACCAGGCAUUACCAGGUUCUGAGGUUCGAAGGUUCUACCAGGUUCUGAGGUUCUACCAGGCAUUACCAGGUUCUGAGGUUCGAAGGUUCUACCAGGUUCUGAGGUUCUACCAGGUUCUGAGGUUCUACCAGGUUCUGAGUGAACAGGGAGAGGAGGGGGCUGAGAAGCUUUGGUCCUGAUAAUAUUAGUGGAACAUGACCUAAUGAGGCCACCAGACCUGCUCCAUACUGCCCAGCCUCCCUACAGCCACCAGACCUGCUCCAUACUGCCCAGCCUCCC
rnacentral:lncRNA from 1 species